UACGUAGGGCGCAAGCGUUAUCCGGAAUUAUUGGGCGUAAAGAGCUCGUAGGCGGUUUGUCGCGUCUGCCGUGAAAGUCCGGGGCUCAACUCCGGAUCUGCGGUGGGUACGGGCAGACUAGAGUGCUGUAGGGGAGACUGGAAUUCCUGGUGUAGCGGUGAAAUGCGCAGAUAUCAGGAGGAACACCGAUGGCGAAGGCAGGUCUCUGGGCAUUAACUGACGCUGAGGAGCGAAAGCAUGGGGAGCGAACAGG
rnacentral:rRNA from 1 species